UGUUUCGUGGCACAGUUAGUUGAAGCGCCGGUCUACCGAUCACGGAUAGGUGGGUUCGAAUCCCACCGGAACAU
rnacentral:tRNA from 1 species